GGGAAUCUACCCUGAACUGCGGAAUAGCUCCGGGAAACUGGAAUUAAUACCGCAUGUGCCCUGAGGGGCAAAGAUUUAUCGGUUCAGGAUGAGCCCGCGUCCGAUUAGCUAGUUGGUGGGGUAAAGGCCUACCAAGGCGACGAUCAGUAGCUGGUCUGAGAGGAUGAUCAGCCACACUGGGACUGAGACACGGCCCAGACUCCUACGGGAGGCAGCAGUGGGGAAUAUUGGACAAUGGGCGCAAGCCUGAUCCAGCCAUGCCGCGUGAGUGAUGAAGGCCUUAGGGUUGUAAAGCUCUUUUGUCCGGGACGAUAAUGACGGUACCGGAAGAAUAAGCCCCGGCUAACUUCGUGCCAGCAGCCGCGGUAAUACGAAGGGGGCUAGCGUUGCUCGGAAUCACUGGGCGUAAGGGCGCGUAGGCGGCCGAUUAAGUCGGGGGUGAAAGCCUGUGGCUCAACCACAGAAUUGCCUUCGAUACUGGUUGGCUUGAGACCGGAAGAGGACAGCGGAACUGCGAGU
rnacentral:rRNA from 1 species